rnacentral:rRNA from 1 species
CACGUAGGGGGCAAGCGUUGUCCGGAUUUAUUGGGCGUAAAGAGCUCGUAGGCGGCUUAGUAAGUCGGGUGUGAAACCUCCAGGCUCAACCUGGAGACGCCACCCGAUACUGCUGUGGCUAGAGUCCGGUAGGGGAGCGUGGAAUUCCUGGUGUAGCGGUGAAAUGCGCAGAUAUCAGGAGGAACACCAACGGCGAAAGCACUCUGCUGGGCCGACACUGACACUGAGAGACGAAAGCUAGGGGAGCGAAUGGG